CCACAUGGUGAACACCCGAGUAUGCUUCGUAGUUCCCUUCAUCUUGAUGCUGUGCUAGAUCAAUAUCUGGUCCUUUCCUCUUCUUUGAAAGGCACAUACAUCCUUUCAGAUGUAUUCAAACAGCCAGCACAUCU